GAGGACAGAGAAGAUAGCCAUGAAGGCCGAACUGCCUGACUGCUAUAUAUAUGCAGGGGCCUCAUUUCCGCCUGUGUUUAUCCUUCCGUUGGUGGUUCAGACUAUUCAGAGUUUCUAGUGGUUGAGGUGCACUGUGUUUUCCAAGUAGAUGCACGACCUUGGUUUUCCCACUUCACAGUCCUGACUAGCACCUGUGUGCCGACAUAAGCAGAGGGGAGGGGCUUUGGCUACGUAUUGUUUUCUCCCUUCCUCUGGUGUAUGACCAUCUGUAGCCCAAGGUCUGUGUAGUGCUAAUGCAAUUAAAAGCAUCUCACAGC
rnacentral:lncRNA from 1 species